AAAAGCACUUUGAAAAGAGAGUGCAAGAGAACGUGAAAUCGAUGUAAUGGAAGCGAGUGGAGUCGACGUAUCUUGCGCGUAUUCAUCCGUCGGCUGGGGUGGUGGUAUGGUUGCUAUUCCGAAUAGGUUAGUGGCUGUGCCUGCUGCUUUGGUUGGCGGUGCAUUUGCGUGCGGAGUGCGCUGGAACAGUUGGAGUUGCGGUUGGAUGUGUGCUUAGAGGCCCGGCUUCGGUUGGAAACCUUGGUGCGCGGAAGGCUGUUGACGCUGGCUGAGAGUCCUCGGACGUUCCGGUGUCUUGUCGAUGACCCAUUCGACCCGUCUUGAAACACGGACCAAGGAGUUUAAGGUGUACGCGAGUCAAAGGGCUUUGAAACCCCAAGGCGCAAUGAAAGUGAGGCACAGAGUGUCUUAGACGUGAUCGGUCGGUCAAACGGCUGAGCAGCGUCGCUCCGUAUCUGGUACUUGUACUGGUGCGGCAGCUGAGCGUACGCUUUGAGACCCGAAAGAUGGUGAACUAUGCCUGUACAGAACGAAGCCGGAGGAAACUCUGGUGGAAGUUCGAAGCGGUUCUGACGUGCAAAUCGAUCGUCUGAUAUAGGUAUAGGGGCGAAAGACUAAUCGAACCAUC
rnacentral:rRNA from 1 species